AAUGCAUGCAGAACUUGAAUUAUUUCCUACUCAGAAGUAAAACCAUAAGUUUGGUGCGUGCCCGCCCGCCACUGGAGUCCCUGGUGAACGAACAUAAGAGCUCCGCUCUGCGUUGGAUAUGCAGACUGAGCCAAGCCGUGACGUAGAGCAACCAGGUACCGACAACAGCGGAACGAACUGGUGGGUAUUAAACAUCUGUACAGCAUCCUAUUCACAGAACAUCACAGAAUGUCACCUCGGCUCGGAACGUCCUUACGUUUCGAGUGGAGAUGAAGGCUUCCAGAUAUUGAAAGCAGCUACGAAUGAAUUGAAUAAACCGACGUGGACAGCCGAUAGGGGGUUGCCCUCCAGGUUGAAUUUAAACGGGAGAUAACAACUAUAAACAGAAAAUAACCUGUAGCUCAGUAACGUGUCCUGACGGAGUUAGUCAAUGAUUAAAGAGAAGAUCUUUACAAUAUUUUGCUUGUUGUAUCUAAAAAGCUAGUCAGGCUAAUUAAAAUGUAUAAUUGUAUAACCAACAACUUUUAACACUGAACGGUAUUAUACGUAGACCAUACGCGUUUCGGCCCUAAGGGGUCAUCUUCAGUGGCCAGUAAAUAUGUUAUAUUUCAAUAUAAAGCUUCUAAAAAUAUAUAAAAGUACAGAGUUAAAAUACUUCUUCCAACUUGUAUGCAAACGCUACUGACUGACUGUAAUGAAAACGUGAGUCUAAUUGGGUAAAAAAUGUUUUUAAAAACUGACUAAGUCGGACGUUUAAACAAUAAAAAGUUUUUGUUAUUCUCA